rnacentral:tRNA from 1 species
GGGAUAUGGCUCAGUUGCUAGAGUGCUUGCCUAGCAUGUAUGAAUUCCUGGGUUUAAUCCCCAGCAUUACCA